rnacentral:rRNA from 1 species
UGGGGAUGCGUCUGAUUAGCUCGUUGGCGGGGUAACGGCCCACCAAGGCAACGAUCAGUAGGGGUUCUGAGAGGAAGGUCCCCCACAUUGGAACUGAGACACGGUCCAAACUCCUACGGGAGGCAGCAGUGAGGAAUAUUGGUCAAUGGGCGAGAGCCUGAACCAGCCAAGUAGCGUGCAGGAUGACGGCCCUAUGGGUUGUAAACUGCUUUUAUAAGGGAAUAAAGUGAGUCUCGUGAGACUUUUUGCAUGUACCUUAUGAAUAAGGACCGGCUAAUUCCGUGCCAGCAGCCGCGGUAAUACGGAAGGUCCGGGCGUUAUCCGGAUUUAUUGGGUUUAAAGGGAGCGUAGGCCGGAGAUUAAGCGUGUUGUGAAAUGUAGACGCUCAACGUCUGCACUGCAGCGCGAACUGGUUUCCUUGAGUACGCACAAAGUGGGCGGAAUUCGUGGUGUAGCGGUGAAAUGCUUAGAUAUCACGAAGAACUCCGAUUGCGAAGGCAGCUCACUGGAGCGCAACUGACGCUGAAGCUCGAAAGUGCGGGUAUCGAACAGGAUUAGAUAC